rnacentral:rRNA from 1 species
GACGAACGCUGGCGGCGUGCCUAAUACAUGCAAGUAGAACGCUGAAGGAGGAGCUUGCUUCUCUGGAUGAGUUGCGAACGGGUGAGUAACGCGUAGGUAACCUGCCUGGUAGCGGGGGAUAACUAUUGGAAACGAUAGCUAAUACCGCAUAAUAGUAGAUGUUGCAUGACAUUUGCUUAAAAGGUGCAAUUGCAUCACUACCAGAUGGACCUGCGUUGUAUUAGCUAGUUGGUGAGGUAACGGCUCACCAAGGCGACGAUACAUAGCCGACCUGAGAGGGUGAUCGGCCACACUGGGACUGGGACACGGCCCAGACUCCUACGGGAGGCAGCAGUAGGGAAUCUUCGGCAAUGGACGGAAGUCUGACCGAGCAACGCCGCGUGAGUGAAGAAGGGUUUCGGAUCGUAAAGAUCUGCUGUAAGAGAAGAACGAGUGUGAGAGUGGAAAGUUCACACUGUGACGGUAUCUUACCAGAAAGGGACGGCUAACUACGUG